ACCCAUGGCUGCAGGCGGUUAAUUAACACCGCUAGAAGAGUGAAUCAAAAGCAAAAGUCCGAAUAGUUUCGAGCUAAACAGGACAUACUAAACAACAAGUGGGCAGUGGUGGGCCCUCUCUCCUGCGUGCGGUGGUUGGUCUUGUGUGCGACCUCGGUGGUGCGUGCGCAGCGGCGUUGCUCUGGCCUCCAAGGCGUCCUGUGCUCGGCGGUUGGUCGUCGCGUGGCCCUGUGCCCCCCUGGUUGCUGGGUGGGCCGGCGUCGGGCGCCCCUGCGCGGCGCGGGUGGUGGAUCUGGGCGGUUGCGCUCCCUGGUAUGUGUCGUGCGAGGCUGCGGCAUGCGGGGCCGAAUCCGGCAGGCCCCUGCCCGGAUCUGUUGGGUGGCGCCAGUUCCCUUGCUCCCUCGGCGGCAGAUCGGAUUUUCCCCAACUUGGCGUUCGCGUUCUCUCGGCGUGGUGGUGCUCUGCUCUGUAUUGCGCCUGGUUGUGCCUGGAGCUCCCCGGUGUGGUGCUGGCCGGCGUUGUGCCGUGCUACAUCGUUGACUGCAUCUUCCUCCACCUAUCGGCCUAAUGUGGUUGCACAGGUACCCCCUCAUGUGUCUCUGUUGUGGCGAUGCCUAUGCGACUACACUGGUGGCACACAGGUGUUGUGGCGUCGUCUCGGCUCAUGUAACCUUUCGAUUGCGCCCCACGACACAGGUGGUGUCGCGGCGUUGGGCAGUCUCGGAUGCGCGGCGCCUUUCGAUUACGUCGACGGUGCAGUGUCUUGGUUUGGUCUACUAGGUGAUGCUCUUUGGCCUUGUCGGUGGCACACAGGUGCCGUGGUGUCGUCUCGGCUCGUGUGUCCUUUCGAUUGCACCCCACGACAUAGGUGGUGUCGCGGCGUUGUGUACUCUUGGAUGUGAGGCGCCUUUUGAUUGCAUUGAUGGUUGGUCUCGGCUGGCCAAUGGCGUUCGACUACUUUGGCGGUGCUCUUAUUGUGUAGUCUGUUCUUUCCCUGUUUGUUUCUCUCCUGUAUUGUGUGUGUCUUUUUUUAUCUCUUCUUACGUGCCCCCUUGUAUUUCUGGUUCACUUGAACCUAUCUUGUAAUAGGCUGCAAAGCCUUAUAGGCAAUAUGAAUACAAUUCAGAUGGGGAAA